ACUAUGAGGACUGAGCUUCCUCUCCCCAGGACCCGCAUGGGAGAGACCGCGGCUUCGAGACACCUGGGGACACCUGGGGACACCUGGGGCGGCGUCCGCGGUGAGGACUGGGAGACGCUGCUGCAUCUCCGGGACACCACUUGGGGCCGAGGCCAAGGGAUUCUCCACGGCUGCCAUUAGGGGGCCCGGCCAAACCCGGAGCGCCACAGUAGAACUGCGUCUGAUCCGUACAGCGGCAUCCCUGGGUGUGAGGACUGUGAGGACGGAGUUUUCUCUCCUCAGGACCCACCCAGGAGGGGCCAUGGCUUCGAGACACCUGAGGACACCUGGGGCCACGUCCGCGAUGAGGACAUCUCUGGGACACCUGGGGCUGCAUCUCCGGGACACCUGGGGCUGACCCUGGUACGGGGAAAGGAGGAGGAACACAGAGACGCCCUCGUGAGGUCGGGGACCAGCAGGCACCACAGUCUAAGGCCAAUGAAACAGGCGCCCCUAGAUGAGUGCUCGGUGUUUGUUUUGUUUUGUUUUCUUUUGAGAAGGAGUUUCGCUCUUGCUCCCCAGGCUGGAGUGCGAUGUCGCGAUCUCGACUCACUGCAACCUCUGCCUCCCGGGUUCAAGCGAUUCUCCUGCCUCAGCCUCCCGAGUAGCUGGGAUUACAGUCAUGCGCCAUCACGCCCGGCUAAUUUUGUAGUUUUAGUAGAGACGGUGUUUCUCCAUGUUGAUCAGGCUGGUCUCGAACUCCUGAUCUCAGGUGAUCCACCCACCUCGGCCUCCCAAAGUGCUGGAAUUACAGGCGUGACCCACUGGGCCCGGCCAGUGCUUUGUGUUUUAAGGCUCUUUUGUUAACGCAGUGGAAACAACACAGGAAAUGGAAAAGCAGGCACAUUAUCAUUCUCAGGCCACUGCAUUUAGCCUGGGCGACAGAGCGAGACCUUGUCUCAAAAAACAAAAACAAAUGAAAACAAAAACAAACCAUUUUGUGUGUCUAAUGGAAGUGACCUCGUCAACAACAGUCUUUUGUUGAGAAAGUCUGUU
rnacentral:lncRNA from 1 species